rnacentral:misc_RNA from 1 species
AACGCAUAUGGCACCUCUUGGUUCCUACUAAGAGGUAUGCCUGUUUGAGAAUCAUUUAUCCCUUUUGAUCCAUUGGAUCAUACAUCCACUUUGGUUGUUGAUCCUCUUGGUCAAGACAUGGACCUUCAUCACUGAUCGUCUUGAAUUCAGGCACGGAUUGUUCGUGAGAGUGGAAGCUAAUUCUAUUGAUCGACCAAUCUGCUCAUACUCCAGUGAUCUCAAAUCAGGCAAGACUACCCGCUGAACUUAA